rnacentral:rRNA from 1 species
CCAGCAGCCGCGGUAAUUCCAGCUCCAACGGCGUAUACUAAUAUUGCUGCUGUUAAAACGCUUGUAGUCGACCACAGAACGUGGGGCUGCGAGGUGGCCUACAACAGUGGUCCUGAGGACAGCUUCGGUUGUUUGAUGGCCUGCUGAUGUGGGAACUCAACCCCUCGCAGUAUGCCCCCGCGUUCGCUGCACAUGGAACCGAUUGCACCUGCGAUAAGUGGGCUUCAUUGACCACCGACGCGGCUUCACCCGCAACGCGGGUACGGGAUCAAGUGCCAUUCGUGUCACUCCCACCCCCGGUGUCGUCCAUGGCUGUUACCGUGAACAACUCAGCGCGUCCAAAGCGACCGACUAUUGGCUGCAUGCUUCCGCAUGGGAUAACAAAGGAUUGACCAGAUGGGCUUUCGUAUUUUGCUGGCCUUAGUGUCCAUCAAGGGCAAUACGGUGCUGUCCCCCCAGUUAGGUGGCCAACUUCGGUUGCGUUCACCCGAUUGGUGGUGCAGUGCCGACCAGUAAUGAUGGGAGCGUUCGGGGUGAUGGGUAUCGAAACGCUAGAGGUGAAGUUCUUAGAUCGCUUUGGGAUCAGCUGCAGCGAAGGCGUUUUGCAAGGGCAUGUCCGUCGAUCAAGAACGAAAGU